GACGAACGCUGGCGGCGUGCCUAAUACAUGCAAGUCGAGCGGACCGAAAAGAAGCUUGCUUCGAUUCGGUUAGCGGCGGACGGGUGAGUAACACGUGGGCAACCUGCCCUGUAGACGGGGAUAACACCGAGAAAUCGGUGCUAAUACCGGAUAACACGAAAKGYCGCAUGGYCUUUCGUUGAAAGGCGGCGCAAGCUGUCGCUACAGGAUGGGCCCGCGGCGCAUUAGCUAGUUGGUGAGGUAACGGCUCACCAAGGCGACGAUGCGUAGCCGACCUGAGAGGGUGAUCGGCCACACUGGGACUGAGACACGGCCCAGACUCCUACGGGAGGCAGCAGUAGGGAAUCUUCCGCAAUGGACGAAAGUCUGACGGAGCAACGCCGCGUGAGCGAAGAAGGUCUUCGGAUUGUAAAGCUCUGUUGUUAGGGAAGAACAAGUACCGCAGUAACUGGCGGUACCUUGACGGUACCUAACGAGAAA
rnacentral:rRNA from 1 species